ACUUCUCCUUCCGGCUGCCUUGGGAAGAAGGUAAGAAGGUGCUUUGCUUCCCUUUUAUCUUCCACCGUGAUUAUAUGUUUCCCGAGGCCUCCUCAGCCAUGCUGAACUGUGAGUCAAUUUAACCUCUCUCCUUUAUAAAUUACCCAGUCUUGGGCCAUUCUUAAUAGCAGUAUGAAAAUUGACUAAUACAGUAAAUUGGUACCACAGAGAGUGUGGUGCUGCUAUAAAGGUACCUGAAAAUUUGAAAGCGACUUUGGAACUGGGUAACAGGCAGAGAUUGCAACAGUUUGGAGGGCUCAGAAAAAGACAGGAAGAUGUGGGAGAGUUUGGAACUUCUUAGAGACUUGUUGAAUGGUUUGGGCCAAAAUGCUGAUAGUGAUAUCAACAAUGAAGCCCAGGCUAAAGUGGUCUCAAAUAAAGAUGAGAAAAUUACUGGGAACUGGAGAAAAGGUCACUCUUGCUAUACUUUAGCAAAGAGACUGGCAGCAUUUUGCCCCUAUCCUAGAGACCUGUGGAACUUUGAACUUGAGACUUAGGGUAUUUGGCAGAAGAAAUUUCUAAGCAGCAAAAUGUUCAAAAGGUGACCUGGAUGUUUUCAAAAGUAUUCAGUUUUAUGCAUUCACAAAGAGACGGUUUGGAAUUGGAAGUUAUGUUUAAAAGUCUGGAAAAUUUGCAGCCUGAUGAUGCAAUAGAAAAGAAAAUCUCAUUUUCUGAGGCGAAAUUCAAACCAGCUGCAGAUAUUUGCUUAAGUAACGAGGAGCCAAAUGUUAAUUGCCAAGACAUGGGGGAAAUGUUUCCAGGGCAUGUCAGAGACCUUUGCAGCAGCCCCUCCCGUCACAGGCCCAGAGGCCUUGUUCCUGGGCCUUGCUGCUUUGUGUAAUCUUGGGACUUGGUGCUUUGCAUCCCAGCUAUGGCUAAAAGGGGCUAACUUACAGGUCAGGCCAUUGCUUUGGAGGGUACAAGCUCCAAGCCUGUGGCUUACACAUGGUGUUGAGCCUGCUGGUGCACUGAAGUCAAGAACUGAGGUUUGAGAACCUCUGCCUAUAUUUCAGAGGAUAUAUGGAAACACCUGGAUGUGCAGGCAGAAGUUUACUACAGGGGUGGAACCCUCAUGGAGAACCUCUCCUAGGGUAGUGUGGAAGUAAAGUGUGGGGUCAGAGCCUCUGUUCAGAGUCCCUACUGGGGCACUGCCUAGUGGAGCUGUGAGAAAAGGGCCCUUGUCCUCCAGACCCUGGAAUGGUAGAUCGACUGACAGCUUGCACCAUGCACCUGGAAAAGCUGCAGACACUCAAUGCCAACCUGAGACAGCAGCCAGGAGGGGGCUAUACACUGCAAAGCCACAGGGGCAGAGCUGCCUGAGGCCAUGGGAACCUACCUCUUAGAUUAGCAUGACAUGGAUGUGAGACAUGGAGUCAAAGGAGAUCGUUUCAGAGCUUUAAGAUUUGACUCUCCCAUUGGAUUUAGGACUUGUAUGGGGCUUAUGGCCUCUUUGUUUUGGUCAAUUUCUCCCAUUUGGAAUGGGUAUAUUUACCCAGUGCCUUUACCCCCAUUUUAUCCAGGAAGCAAAUAACUUGAUUUUGAUUUACAGAAUCCUAGGUGGAAGGUACAUGCCUUGUCUCAGUUGAGACUUUAGACGUGGACUUUUGGGUUAAUACUGGAAUGAAUUAAGAAUUUGGGGGACUGUUUGGAAGGCAUGAUUGGUUUUGAAAUGUGAAAGGGACAUGAAAUUUGGGAGGGGCUGGAGGGAGAAUGAUAUGGUUAGGCUUGUGUCCCCACCUAAAUCUCAUCUUAAAUAGUAAUCUCCAUAAUCCCUUGGUCCCCAUGUGUCAAGAGAGAGACCAGGUGGAGGUAACUAAAUCAUGGGAGUGGUUUCCCUCAUGCUGUUCUUAGGAUGGUAAGUAAGUUCUCCCAAGAUCUGAUGGUUCUCCUGAGAUGGGAGGUUUUCCCCCUUAGCUCAGCACUUCUCCUUCCUGUCACCUUGUGAAGAAGGUGCCUUGCUUCCCCUUCACCUUCCGCCAUGAUUGUAAGUUUCCUGAAGCCUCCCCAGCCAUGCUGAACUGUGAGUCAAUUAAACCUCUUUCCGUUAUAAAUUACCCAGUCUUGGGCAAUUCUUUAUGGGGGUAUGAAAAUGGACUAAUACACCCUGGGAAUUUGUUUCUCCUCCUUAGGACAAAACAAAAGAUACAAUAUUUCCCUCAUCCCGUGCUCCAGUCUAGAAACAUUUGAGCCCAAAUAUCUAUUGUCUGUGAUGGAUCCGGUGCAAUGAAAUUAGCCAAUGACCAAGUCUCUAGAUCCUUUUAAAUUGACUUGUUAAAUAAACUUUUAUUGUAGGUUCAGAGGUACAGGUGCAAGUUUGUCAUACAGGUAAAUUGCAUGUCACGGGGGUUUGGGGUACAAAUUAUUUCAUCAUCUAGCUAAUAAGCAUAGUAUCCAAUUGGUAGUUUUUUGAUCCACUCCAUUCUCACACCUUCCACCCUUAUGUAGGCCCCAGUGUCUGUUGUCCUCUUCUUUGCAUUCAUAUGUACUCAGUGUUUAGCUCUCACUUAUAAGUGAGAACAUGUGGCAUUUGGUUUUCUGUUCCUGCAUUAAUUUGCUGAGGAUAAUGGCCUCCAGCUCCAUUCUUGUUGCUACAAAGGACAUAAUCUGAUUCUUUUUAUGGCUGUGUAGUAUUCUAUGGUGCAUAUGUACCACAUUUACUUUACCCAUUCUACCAUUGAUGGGCAUUUAGGUUGAUUUCAUGUUUUUGCUACAGUAAAUAGUGCUGUGAUAAACAUAUAUGUGCACGCGUCUUUAUAGUAGAAUGAUUUAUAUUCCUUUGGAUAUAUAUCCAAUAAUGGGAUUGCUGAGCCAAAUGGUAAUUCUGUUUUAAGUUCUUUGAGAAAUCAUCACACUGCUUUCCACAAUGGCUGAACUAAUUACUUUGUCACCAGCAACGUAUAGACAUUCCCUUUUCUCUGCAAUCUUGCCACUAUCUGUUCUUUUUUGACCUUUUAAUAAUAGCCAUUCUGACUGGUGUGAGAUGGUAUCUGAUUGUGGUUUUGAUUUGCAUUUCUCUAAUGAUUGGUGGUGUUGAACAUUUUUUCAUAUGCUAGUUGGCCACCUCUAUGUCUUCUUUUGUAAAGUGAAUUGAGCUAUUUAUUUAUUUUUAAAUAUCCUCUUAUUUGGACUCUGCUAGGUCCUGGCUUUGAAUGGAUUUUCUCUCUUUCUCUUCCUCCUCUACCACUGAGAGUGAGCAGGGUCCUCAAAAGCUGCCGGGCUCCUGGGGCAUGUGGAAGGUUGUGCCUGCAUGGAUAUGGAGAGUAGUGUUGGGGAUGGGGAUUGCUACCUUUCCGUCAUUUAGGGCUUUUACCUGCAAAGGCCCAUAGAGCUAGCUUUAUUCAGAGUUUCAUUGCAAAGCCUCAUUUCUACUUUCCCCAACUCUUCUCUCAACCAGUCCUUGCCUCCAAGGACACCCAUAGAGUCCUUGUGGUCAUUUCUCGUGGUUAUCAGCCUCCCAUGGCUCAUCCCUGCAGCUGCAGGAGGUUCGUGGUCCUGCCAUUACCUCUUGCAGUUGGUUGGGGCUAGAUCAGCCUUUUGGCUGCCAAGGGAGGAAUCAGGAGCUGUUCCACAUUUUGGGCUGAAGGAAAGACGUUGUAAUUAUGGAUUGAAAGCCCCCACUGUUGGCAUCACUGACUGCCCCCUAAGCAGAGGAUUACUUAGAAAUAGACAGCAGGGACACCCAGAUGGACGUGGCUCACCCGACUUUUACUGGCUGACCGCGAUCACCUUUUUCUGACCUUUAGAAAAUGACAGAGUGCUGUGUUCUCCUGACUAAGAGUGUGACUACUGGGGAAGGGUGGCAGAAUAAUCAUGCCCUGGGAUGUUGCCAUUUUAUUAUUUUUUUCUUUUUAAUCUUAGCACACAAUCCAGGAGUGUGCUAAAAUGAUUUGGACCCUAUCCUUGAGGAGUUUAGGAUAUUGAAGGAUGCAAUAUUAACACAGACAUAAUAAUCGAGAACAACAUAAAGGAGUCUAUAAUGGCUGCAUAAUUGUGUGCAAUUGCCUGAUGGGAUAGUAGGAGGAGCCUUGAGGGCUGUGGGAGCCAAGAAAGCCUUCAAGAAAAAGUAACUUAAGCUGAGUCUUAGAGAAUGUGCUGGAUUUGAGUAGGGAGAUGGAAGGGCAUUCUAGGAGCCAAGACCAAAGGGGAAGGGACAGGAACUGUUUAUUAGAUGCUAAAGAAAGCAGUACAAACCUGAGGCAUGGAAGGACAAGCUGGGAAGGUCUUUAACUGUUAACCCAGGUCCUGAAGCUCAGGGGUGAAUCUGAUCAGGUGUGAAUCUCUUCUAUGCCGAAGGUCCAGAGAGUGAUUCCUCAAGGUCACAGAGCAGCCAUGGUGCCAGAUGCUGUGGUGUGUCUGUGCAGUCAUAGGCUCAAAGCACUUCUCACUCAACCACAUUGCAUUUGCUCACAACUCAUAACCCCUUUGAAGCUUGCCAAAACACAGGUGCACUUUUGUUUUGAAGACAAACUCUGAGAGCUGCUGAUGGGACUUUUUGAGGCCACCAUUGCUUCUGCAGCUGCUCAUAUGCUUCAAAGAACUGAGGCCUUAGCUGCAGGGGCAGGGGAGCCGUUGACUUCUGAGGUUUAGGUGGCAGGUGCCUUUUCUGCAGUCACUCCCUCCCUCUUUGGAAGCAGAGGGUGCUAGCCUCCUACAGAGAGGACUGUGAGCUCCCCCCUUGUCACGGAUGGCCCUGCAGUGCCAAGUGCUGACAGGAGGUCGUGGCUGCUUUCAGCGGAGCAUUAGCCCUAAUAGGUUUGGCAGGAUUUUAAAAUAAUCAAAACAAAGCAGGUUAGAAGGUUUGAUGGGGGAGGUAUGUGGUGACUGCUUGAGCUCAGAUCACAUGGUAUGUCCAGCAGCCUGGCCCAGAACAGCUCCAAGGCCUGAUGCCAAGGGUCUGGGCUGAACAGAAAUCUGAAGUGGCUUUAUCAGAGAAAUUAGUGUGUGAUUAGAGCUGAGAAGAGUCACGAGUCUUAACUUCUGUUUAGCACUCCAAGAAUAAGGUGUCCCGUGUGGUGCCAAAUUACUCCCUCUGGGCAGUCUAAAGCAUGAGUGGGAUGCUUAUCCAGGGAGCACGGUGGAGGAAAGGUGUGGGGGCUGGGGGGAGGCUGUGGGGUGAAGAAUGAUGCAGUGCCAUGGAGUAAGCUGUAGACAGACCUGCUUUGGCUUUGUUUGGGGGUGGGGCAGGGUGUGAAAUACUUUCUGUACUGAUUUCUAUCCUGCGAUCAGAUACCUAGGACGUGUGUUAGAGCCAAGAAGAGACAGAACUUGACCACGUUGGGUAUUGCUUGAUUUUUUUUGUUUUUUAAUGAGGUCUUGCUCUGCCUCUCAGGCUGGAGUACAGUGGUGCAAUCAGCUCACUGCAGCCUCUGCCUCCUGGAUUCAAGCAAUCCUUCUGACUCAGCAUCAUGGGUAGCAGGGACUACAGGUGUGUGCCACCACACUCAACUUUUUUUUUUUUUUUUUGGUAGAGAUGGAGUCUCCCUAUGUUGCCCAGCCUGGUCCUGAACUUCUGACUCAAGUGAUCCUCCUGCCUUGGCCUCCCAAAGUGCUGGGAUUACAGGUGGGAGCAACCAUAUCUGGCUGGUAUUGCAUUUUUAAUACAAUUGGAAUAGUAUAUUAAAUAUUUUUGAAGGAAAGAAUAGACCUUCACUAUGGUGGAAAUGAAAGGAGUUACCCACCUCAUUUUCCUUAUGGUAGAACAUUGUAUUCCAGCCACCACAGGCACUCCAGCCUGUGGCUUUCGGUUGUGAAUGACAGCCCACUGAAGUGACUUGUCCUUGCUAUCUUUGUCCACAGCAAUCCUUGGUUUUGCUCUCACUUUUGCCAGGGCCUCUCUUCUGCAUCCUUGAUGCCUUUGUCUUCCAACUCUGAAUGUUUUUGGCAAGGACAGAGAUGUUAAAAAGCUAGCAGGAGGGGCUGGUUCUGACAAAGGACAGGCAGACAGUGCACAGGUGGUGCACCCUAGCCUAACAAAGGCUCCUUUGCUCAGUGGUGGGGAAGAACUGCUGCGUGGCUUUGCUGGAAAUCUGUCCCUGAAGCCUAGAUGGGCCUAGCCCUCACCUGGCUAGGGAUUGUCCCCAAAGCUCUUUUACUGCUAAUUCAAGCAGAAUGGAGGACUGACACUAAGAAAAUAGGCUAUCUAUCUCAUGAAACACCAGGGGAAGACAUGUCUAGGUUUGGGACCAGCAUCUUAAAGUGUUCAGAAAGUAACACAAUUCCUCUCUCUCCCUCUGUCUCUGUCUCUCUGUCUUUAUGUGUGUGUCUGUCUCUGACUUUUGAGGCUCUUGCUCUCCACUCGUCACUGUGUAUCUGCUUUAUUUUUCUCUUAUUACACCAACUUUUGCUAUUUCUUCAAGCACAUGGCAGAAGACGGCUGCCUCUUAUCUGGCAAUUUUACAAAGCCCUCAACUCAGGCAAACAGUAGAGCUGUUCCUAUCAGUGCCAACUCCAAAUUCACAGAAAAAAAUCUGAUUAGUUUAGAUUAAGUCAGAGAAGGUUAAAAGGGUUCUGAGGGAGGGAUGUGAUUGCCUGAUUUCUGAUCACAGUAUAUGCCUUAAUGGUAUACAGGCUGUCCAGAACAAUUCCAAGACUAUGGUCCUGGGGUGGCAUGGUAUGGAUAGAAAGCUCACAAAAUGUUCACAUAGACAAUUAAUAUGGCUGCCUGGACCCACAUGUACUAGAGCUCAGAGAGGCAUAUGUGUGCAGGUACAUGCUCACACAUGUGUAUGUGUGAAGCAUGCAUGUGUGGUCUUAUGGUUGGGUAGAGACCCCUUAAAGUGCCUAUCACAUCAGAUAGAAGGAUAGAUUUCUAGAUAGAAGAAAUUUGGGCCCAUCUGUUAUCUAGAAAUUUCUUUUGUUGAAGGCUUCUUCCUGCUGUGUACUUCGGCAAAGUUCCUCAUUAACAUGGCCCUCCUGAAUUGGGAGAUUUGGUCCCAGAUUCUCUAAUCAUCCUCUGUCUUCCCAGGGUGGAGAAGCUGAUAUAUGCUGGGGAGUCUUUUGCGAAUUUACAUUUCCUUUAAUAUGCAUUGGGCACAGAUGGUUACCAGGUUGUCUCCGAUUCAUAAGUCUUCUUUCAUCAAGGGCCGAUCAAAAUUUAGUGCAAGCAGGUUUAAAGGGACAAGCUUUUAGGCUUGGAAAUGUGCAUAUAAAUAAAAAUGUUGCUGUAGCGGCUCCAUUGUUAAUGAAAGAAAAAUGAUCCAUGUCCUCUUCCUGGAUAACGGAGUCUCUGAAUAUAUUUAUUUCAAGAUUUAGGUGCUGAGGGAACCGGCCACAAAUCAUAGAGCAACCAUUAAUGAGCCUCUGUCCCUACCUGUUUAGCUUAUUAACUGCCUGUUACCUACAGUUCUAUAUCCCACUUGGGGACAGAAAAUGGAUGCAUCAGCAAUGCAAAGGCUGAAAAACACAGAAGUUAAUCAAAAGCACAUGGGAGCCUGGAAAUGUAAUCAGAAGAUAUGGGCUGGUUGUUUAUUGGGGUACUGGGAGGUGGCUGGGAGGGAGGAUCUGGUGCUGUCUGAUAUGAGAUUUGGCUAAUUAAAUCCCCCUGUCCUUUAGUCAGUGUCCUCUCCACUCUGUGCAAGCUGUGGACAUGAAAGGAAUAGUCCCUGCCCUCAAGGAACCUACAUGCUAAUUGUGAGGCAUGCUCUACAUGCUGGAAUCACAGAAAGCAAACUCAGGAUAGCGCUGUAGAGGCUACAUGAACCAUUGUUAAAGUACUAAAAAAUGGUAGAUUGUUACACAGUAGAAAGAGCUUAGCUGAGAGAGAGGAGGUCUUGGAUUUUGCUUUGGUUCUAUGAUAUGACAGUGGCUGUGUCAUUCACCUUUUCCCAUCUUGAUUUUCUGAUAAAAUAAGAGUUUGACCUGGAUCAUUGACUAAGGGUAUUCAUGAGAAGCACUUUAGGUAUUCAUGAAAUUGGAGUAAAGACCGGAAGUUACUGAGAUUUCAGGAACCUUCUUUUGGCUACUUAGCAAAGUAGAAGUUUUAAUUCAUAGAGAAGAAAGAUGGAGCCACCCUUGGCAGGGACCCUUGUGUACAUCAGGGUGUGUGUAUGUGGAGGGAAUGGCCUGCCUUGUGGGCAUGAGAGCCAAUAAAAGAGGGGAGUGGGUAUCAAUCACAAGCACAGAGAUGGGCAGAACCAACUAGGCAGGUAGGCAAACCAGAGUUCAACACCAAAACCAACAGCUAUGUUCUUUAACCCGAAUAUUCAGAAAUCUUCUCAGUUACUUCCUAACUUGAAGGCAAAAUUCUACUAAAAGCAGCAACAGUCUUUUAAAAGUAAUUUGAAGACACAGAUAAAAAACAGAAAACUAAAAAGCCUUGGCUCCAUGAUUAAUUAAAAGGAUCAGCUCAAAUUUACAAAAUUGCUUUAAUAAAAGAAAACACAAAAUCGCAUACAUGUGCCUCCAUAUGUUAAUGAUGGCUAUUUUUCUUUGUUUUUCUGCUGCUGCUACAGCCAUGUCCCAUCUAUCACUUGGUUUCGGGCAUCAUAAUCAAUUGACUUUACCAUAAACAACAUGUUGUACAUGCAGCAACUGAUAACAGCAUUUAACUUGACACAGGGUAAAACCUCCCUCUUUUUUAUUCUUCCAGUCUCUCAGAAGACAGAAAGAAUAGCCUUGAAUUAAUUCCUUACUUAUUGAGCCAAGCACGCAUUUUCUUAUGAACUUUACUGGGGCAGAGAAGUGCAGUCCAGCAGUUAAUCCUACCAGAUAACUAUACCCACUGUGAUGAAGCUCUGUAGGAACCCGUUAUCCUGAUGUCCAGAACAGUGCUUGGCACACAGUAGGCACUCAAUGGCUGUAUGUCCAUCAGAUCAAUACUCCUAAUUUUAGUUUCUCUGAUAAGUGGUAAAUUUCAUGGAGAAUUGACAAUCAAUCUUUACCCAUGGAAGGGAUAUUUUUACAUAUGGAAGAUAGCAAAUCUUUUUUGUGGAUUGAAAAUAAGUAAAUACGCAGAAGAUCUCUUAGUGACUGCUACUGAAUUGACACCCAACACCUUGUGAAUUAACUGAUUUUCUUCUAUUCUCUAAACACGAUGACUGAAGCUCAUGGCACAUUGAAUGCUUACAGUCAGUUGGCUGGUCAGCCUUAUGUUCUUGUUCUUCCCUAGGUUGGCUGUAUGCUUGUAUGUGUACCAAGAGCUAAUUGUGUUUGUUUCCAAAUCUCUUCCUUCCAGUUAUCUUUAAAACUGUAAUUAUAGAAUUAAUUAAAUACUACAUAAACUGAUGAUAUAUAUGAGUCAUUUCUAUGAAAAAUAAGUUGAAUGUUCUGAAGAAAUUCAACGAAAUUUCUUGUGAUUAAAGAGUUUAUAUUGCAUCAGCAGACAAGAUAUCUGUAAAUGAUGGAAAAGAAUGUAAACAUCUAGACAAAAUAUACUUUCAACUUUAAAGAAAUGAAACCUGGAAAUAAUUGGCGAUGGGUGUGCUUAACGCAAGAAAGACAAUGUACAACUCCAAUUGGCAAAUGCCUACUCAAAGAAUACUUAAGGAUUCAAGGGAAAAGAAAUAUUUCAGCCAUGUAUGCAUUGUUUUUGACAAUAGUUUGCUCUUUUUACAAACAUUUUCAAUUAACAGUAAACAAUUUUUCAUGACUGGUAGGUAGCAUGAGUUCUACUAAAAAUAAUUUAAUGCUUUCAGAAAGAAUUAAGGCUACACAAAAUCAGCAGUGUAACUUGGCAGUGAAAGCACAAUGAUUGGGGGUUACAACCCUGGAAACUGCAACAAUAUGGGAACUUAGUGGAGUACUUCCAAGUGAAAUGUGACCCAUAGUCCCAGCUACUAGGGAGGCGGAGGCAGGAGAAUCACUUGAACCUGGGAGCCGGAGGUUGCAGUGGGCCAAGAUCGCGCCACUGCACUCUAGCCUGGGCGACAGAGUGCGACUCUGUCUUAAAAGAAAAAAAAAAUGUGACCAAGGUCAGUGUUCUCCUCAUGGAGGGGAUGGUGCUUUCAGUUAACAAACCUAUCUUACAAUCAGCUAGUUAUUUGUCUUAUACAUGGUGCACGCUCUCUCUUUCUCUGUGUUUCUCUUUUUUUCGUAAUGUUUUGUAAAAUGUUUAUUCUGAAAAAACUUCAAACUUACUGAAAGUCAGAAAGUUGCAAGUGUAAUGUAAUUAACUUCCAUAUGCCCUUUACCUAGAUUCACCAAUGUUAAUGUUAUACAAUCCUUGCUUUCUCUUUCUCCACCUCCCCUCCCCCUCCAACAGUCUCCUUCUCCUUCUUCUCCCUAUUACUAUUACUGUUAGCUUUGCUAAAUGAUUUGAGAGUAAAUUGUAAAUGUCACGAAUUUUAUCUCUAAAUACUGUGUGUCUCUCUUAAAAACAAGGAUUACAAACAACGGAAAUUUAUUUCUCACAGUUCUGGAGUUUGGGAGGUCGAAGAUCAAGGUGCUGGCAGGUUCUGUGUCUAGUGGAGCAAGUUUCAUGGUUAAUAGAUGGUGCCUUCUCUCUGUGCCUUUACUUGAUGGAAGGGGCUAGGUAGCUCUCUGGGGUCUUUUUUAUAAAGGCACUAAUUCCAUUAAUGAAGGCAGAGCUGUCAUGACUUAACUCCUCAAAGGCUUCACCUCCUAACAUCACCUUAGGGGUUAGGGUUUUAACUUAUGCAUGUUGGGGGGACACAAACAUUCAGACAGUAGUAGAUCAUGUCCAAAUGAUGUCUUUUAUAGCCUUUUUCCUUGGUCCAGGAUCACUUAUUGUACUUUUUAGUUUGCUUAAAUCUGGAAUAAUUACUCAGGCUUUUUUGUCUUUCACGGCAUUGACAUUUUGCAAGAGUAUCUGGACAGUUGUUUUGUGCAAUGCUCCUCCAUUUGUGUGUAUUUGUUUCCUCACUACUUUCAGGUUAUGCCUUUUUGGCAGGAAUACUACAUAAAUAAUAUUGUAUCCAUUACAUCAGUAGAGACAUGAUGCCAGUUUGUCCCAUUAUUGGUGAUGUUAGCUAGGAUUACGUGGUUAUGGGGGCAUCUUUAAGUGUUUUUCUACUGUAAAGUUAGCACUAUCUUCUUUGUAAUUAAUAUUUGGAAAUGGUGUAAAUAUACUGUUUCUUAUCAAACUUUCAUCCACUUGUUUUCUCAGCCUUUGAUAAUUCUUGUCCGAGUCAGUUAUUGUUAUUAUUAUACUUGCCAAAUGAUAUGUCUAUUUAUCUCUACCUUCCUAACUUCCAAUUGGAGAAAUCCAAGUGUUUGCUAGAAAGUGGAGAUGGGGGAUGGGGAAAAAGAACACAUAUUCCCUUCCCUCCUCACCCACCACUUGGCCAGUGAAACAAAAUAAAUUUCUUAAUCUAUUCAACUUUUCCACAGGUUGCACUCUAGAUUCUUGGCGAUGUCAUAUUCAUAGAUGUCCUUCCUUCCUUAUUUCUUAUGCCAUCAGUGCUUUUCAUCUCUUUGUUCUCCAUCCCUCAGAUUUCUGCCAGGUCCUGUGUCCAGACUCAAAACAUGGGGGAAUCAGCCAUUUUCUGUUGCAUGCAGUGCUUUUCCUGAAUGCAGUGUGUGAGGUAAAGAGGUGGCUGUGAAAGUGUCAUGUCAUGAGAGUAAAGGAGGCGAGGGACAGGGAGCCCCUGAAAGGUAUGUCCUCAGAAUGGACUAUCUGGAAAACAUAAUUGUAUGCAUUACAAAGGUCAGUCUGAUAGCGUGACAUCUUUUUUUUAUUACUUUGUUGUGUUACAUGAAUGUCUGUCUACUCCUCAGGUUUGAGAUCUGUCCUUUGCUUUAUUUAGUGCCUACAUGAACUAAUGCUUUACUUGAUUUAUCUCAUUUAUAUGUUAUAAUAACCAUAUGUCAUAGACAAUACUGUUAAUGUCUCCAUUUUACAUAUGAGGAAACUGGGGCUUAGAGAGGUUGACCUAAGAUCACAAGCCUGAUGACCGUCUAUUUGCAGAGGCCAUUUUUUUUUGACACCAUGUUUCUAAGAAGUGAGAAAAAUAGGAAUCAGAAAGCUCACACACAUUAAGUAUGGAUCUCCGUACUUCUGGAUCUCCAGCUAGAGUUUACCAACUAAUUUUGAAUAAAAUUAUGCUUUCCAGCAUAAUAAACUUGGUGAUGUGGUUUCCCCCUGACAAAUGGCAACUCUUCUCAAAUCAUAACUGAUUCUCACGAGAAUUAACAAUGGCUACACUGACAGAUGGCAGCUGGACAGCUGGAGAGGAGUUAGCAGAGGCUCCCCAGUGGCCCACUACAGAGGAGUCGGAGUGAACAUCCUGACAUGCCCAGUCCCUGAAACACAUCUUCCAACAGCAAAAGAUGCUCUCACACUGAUAAACUGGAAAACCAAGGAAAUAAUGCAUCGGGUUUCUUUAAUCUGUUUUGAUGAAAAAUAAAUUUUGUGCAUCUCCUCUCACUCUAUUAAGAACAGAAUAGGGUGGGUUGGAGGAAAUUACUUUAUCUCAGCUGCAAAAUAAGGAAGCAGCAUUUCAUCUCUAAAAGGUCUCUUCCAGUUUCAUGAGUCUAAACAUGAGUUGUUAUUAUAACCAUCUAGUUCUAGAAUAUCAAUCACUUCUUUGUUUAUGUGCCACAUAAACAUGGCCUAUGCUUAAGUUAAUACUGAUGUUCAAACCAUAGUAAAAUUCCUUAAGACAGUGCUGUUCUAAUUGGUUCCUGGAGCAGACAUUUUUGGUGAAUAAAUUUUCCCAAGACAAGGAAGAACUCUGAGAUCAUUACCAUAUUCAGAAGACAAAUGUAUCACCUCAUGAAAAUGUUAAUGGGCAGCAUUAAUUGGAAGCAGAGGCCAGGCUGGGAGUUCCCUGUAGAGCCUGAGAGUCACAGAGCACUCUAGGGUAGAAAGAACACAUCUUUAGGUAAUAGAUUUAUAGGUCUGGACAGGAAGUAUUUUAAGUCCCUUAAACUUCCUGAUUCUCUUCUUUCCCUUUGGGUCCGUGUCUGCAUUUGUUCUUAGCUUCUACCUCCUCACUCUCUCCGUCUUCGCUUUAGCAGCAUUCCUGAUCCGUACUAUGUAUUUCUGGCAUGAGCUGUAGGAAUAGUAAUAAGAAGAAAAGAGAACAAAACCAGGGAAAAUGUUGACUUCAAAGGAAGCAAUGAGACGUCGACCUGAAAAUUAUUGAGGAAUAGACCAACAUCAAUACAUGAGGACUUGCCUUUCCCAUUGUCUAUUUAGCUGGUGUCUUUCCUCUUGGUCCCUUUUGAGAGGUUAAUUCACAAUUGAAAAAAAAAUGCCAACAAUAAAUAUUCUAGCUGAAUUUUAGCCCUGCCCUCUUUUUCUCUUGCUCCUACUGGAAAAUUACGCUAUCUUACUGAACUUUACUUAUUUUUUGUUAGCUGCCUCACAUUCAUUCCGGGACAAGAAGGGAUGCAAACAACCACAAACAUGAACAAUUUAUCCAAUUGUGCUUCUAUUAUCCAUAAAUGAUAACCAACAUUUAUACAGCAUGUACCUUUUGGUGGGCACUGUUCUAUUAUUUCACAUGUAUUGAUUAUAUUGAUUCACUUAAUUUUCCUGUGAGUUAAGCACCAUGAUCACUCCUCUCCACCUUUUGAAGGGGAAGAAAUUGAAACCUAGAGCAAUUAAGUAACACUUCCAAAGUCACACAUCUAGCAAGCAGUGGAACAGGAGUUUGAAAUCAUACACUCCCAAGUCCUGACUCCAGGCCUUUAACCACCACAUGAUGCUGCUUCCCUCAGGUGCACUAUUAUGGGUGUGACGAGUGGACACAUAAGAACAAACCUAUCAGUGUUCAAUGAACUAUGACUAGCUAUUCGGGAGACAGUGACUGCACAAGGCUGCUCUUUGGGAGCUGCAAUACACAUAGAUUUAAAUACAAUUCAUUUUCUAAGUCCCAGUAGAGCCUACGAGAGAGUCUAGCUUUCACUAGGAUUAUUGGUUUCGAUUUUGCAAAAGACCUUUCUAAGACAUCUGUUGGUCUCUUCUGCUAAUUUUAAACAGUGAUAAAAAUAUGCUUCUUCAAAAUUCCCCCCUUCUCUUAGCACUUUGGGUUCCUCAUCUUCCUCUUCUUUAUCUCCUAUUGCUGUCCCUUGUCACAGUUCCAGCUUUUUCUACCUGACAGGCAGUGGUUAAUUUGCUUUAAAAGCCGCGCCAUCUGAGACUGUUUCAACCUGAAAAGAACUCUCUGGCUCUUUUGCCAGAGAGCAAAGCCCACUUGGUUCAGAGGCUGUGGCUGGGGGCAUCAGAUGGAUCCUGUAUCCCUUUGAAGAUUGAGCCUUGAAGGGUUUCCUUGAAGAGAUGUCCACUCACUUCAAAGGGGACAAGUGUUGCUUCUGCUAGCACAGACUCAUACUUCAGUCAGCCUUGUUGGGCAGUCCGGAGGGACACAACGACUUUUAUAUUUGUGGAUAUUGUUUUGACUUAAUUUAAAAUUCUAGCUGAUUUCUGGCCCUCUGAUGUGCUGAUGAGAAUACCCAGGUAGGAGGAGAGAGAUGCAAAUUUUCCUUUGAAAUUCAACCACUGGCUCGGGCUUCUUCAGCCCCAGCCAAUAAAACCAGCAGUGGUUUUGAGUUGAUUUUUGCUUGAGCCCACAAUGCUUCUAGCAAGAGGGUGAUGGAGAAGGGAAGAGAGCAAAUGUAAAUGUUGCUCCUGGUUACAUGCUGUUUGUACAGAAGGGUAACUUAAUUAACACUUAAAUCUUUCUCUCUUUCUUUUUUUUUUAAGAGAUGGGAUCUCACAAUGUGCCCAGACUGGUCUGGAACUACUGGGCUCAAGCGAUCCUCCCACUUUGAGCUUACAAAGUGCUGGGAUUAUAGACACGAGGCACUGUGGCCAGCCAGCACUUAAAUCUUAACCACGAUAUAGCUUUAUGAGACAUGGGCCUCUGUUGCUUGAUGGAAACCUACUCCUCUUUUAGGAACGUCAUUAAAAGUCAAUUUCAAAGUUUCUGUCUGUGAUGAUAUCCCAACAGUGUGGCUUCCUUUCAAGCAUUUAUUAUUUUGAGUGGCUGCACUGGCUGAAUUGUUCCUACACAGGUUCUUUUAACGAUUGUUUCCAGGAACACAAAAAUUACUCAGUGGCUUCCAUUUGGUUGACAAUUUUGUAUUAGUUUGUCAGGUUGAGACGACCUGACCUUAUGUUCACGGUUAUGUGUGGUAAACUGUAGAAGCCCUUGACUAUAUUUUGUACCUUUCCUAUCUUAGGAUAACUAGUCCCAGUUUUCUCUGCUUCGUCCAAAUUUAUGCCUGCUAAAAAUUGUCCCAGUUUGUAUGGUAAAUUGUAAGGUUAGCCUAUAUCUAGGGAACUCAACAGGUAUCAUCCAGUGGGCACCCACUGUGAUUUAAUAGCAAAAAAAUUGGGAUUUAGAACUAGAAAUCUAAACCCUGGAUCUGCCAUGGGUGAUGGGACAAGUAGUCUAAAGUGUCUCUGAGCCUCAGUUUCCUCAUCCACAGACUAGAAAUAAUAAUGCCCCAUAAAGUUUUUGUGAGAAUUAACUGGGUCAAUGUAUAUAUGUGAAAACACUCAGAAAUGUGUGUGGAACUCAAUAGGGAGUCACUGCAUUUGUUUUUAUACAAAACCUCUUCCCCUGAGGUGCGGGUGGAUUGUACUAGCUUUAUUUUAGCUGAUUUUGUGUGUGUGUGUGUGUGUGUGUGUGUGUGUGUGUGUGUGUGUGUGUGUGUAUGAUGGGAAUGGGGCAGAGAAUUAAGUGAGAAAAGAGAACUUGGGGGCAAAAGAGAAAAUGAAUUAGAAGUAAUUCUAGUGCAAGACAUAGGGUUGCUGAUUUUAAAUGUAGCAUGGAAAUUAUUUUCACUCAGGGCUAUGUAGUAAUUGCACAUGGAUCCUCCAGCAUGUGUUUGAGGUUUCUUAAUGUAUUUCAUGUCUUGAGGCUUUUGAUGCCUAUGUUCCAGCCCCACUCUCAUAUUCUUUUGAAGCAGGAUUAGUUUCUCCUGAAAACAUGGCAUUUCUGUGCAAAAGCUAUCAUGUUCUGGGACUUGAGUCUCCAAAAACAGACACAAAUUCAUCAGGAAAAAAAGCACUGGAUUGCCAUGCUGGGGAGACCAAGAGAAAAGUUGAUCCAGACACAACUAACCUUGGGCAGUUGGUUGCAGCUGGAUAAACAUGAGUUACAAUAAAGUUACACGUGUAAUGUAUCUGCAAGGUGUAACUGUCCAAACACUACCAGAUUUUACUUUCUCUUCCUAUGAUCCAUCUACUAUUUCACCUGGAGUAAGGAUAUGUUGAUACCGAAGAAGUUAUUGCUUUGAACAUGCUUUUACUGAAUAGUCCUCAUUACCAAUGUAGCACAUGUUUAUUAUAGGAAAUAUGAUCCAUAGUUCUACCAUUCAAAUGCAACCACUGUUAAGGCUUGGAUAUGUUCUAUCUAAUAUUUGGUCACAUUUCUAAAAUUUUCCAUUCCUUUUUUCUCUCAAAUUAUGUUAAAAUUUUAUCACGUUGAUAUUCCAUUGGACAAACUUUCUAAAAAUUACAUAGUAAUUUCCCAAAUGUUAGAUUUUGUUUCAAAUUUUUGAACUAUCAAUUGUGUAUAAAUUCUUGUCUGCAUUUGAGAUUAUUUCUUUAAUGUAAAAAUAGAGAAAGAGGAAUUACAGGGUCAAAGUCAUGAAACUUUUAAAGUUCUUUAUUCAUAUUGAAUAACUGAAAAGCUAUUCUGAAAUACUACUAUCAGUUUACCACUAACUUGAUAUUUUAAAAAAUACUUUAAUAGUAUGUAAUAGGCAUUGUCUGACUAUAAUCAUUUAUCCUUAUAGCACUCCAUAAAAUAUUAUUUUAUGGUCAACCCAGCAUAGAGGGUAACUUGGAUUUUUCAAUAUAAAAAUUCUGGUUUCUAUGCAUACUAAUGUCAUAUGUGACCCUAUUAUACUUGUGGUGUCUCAUAGCUGGAUAUUUUUCUGGCAGUCUUGAUGGUCCCUUUUCUUGAUCAUCAUUGUACAUGAAUUACUUUAAAAAGCAGGCUGGCAGCAGGAAGGGAGAAAGGGAAGAGAUUCCUUCUUUCAGAAACAGCUUAAGCAAUUUGAGGUGGUCUACAUUUCUGGUAUUUGCAGCACAUUUUGACCCAAAUUGUGGAAAAAAAAUGUUUUGGUCUUAAAAAGAAAACAUUUUUUAUAUUCUAUUUUUAAAAAGAAAACAUUUUUUAUAUUCUAUUAGCUACUUUGGAUGUUCAUUCUAAAAACUGGACAGAAAUCUUGGAAUGGAUUUCCCUAAGUGGGUACUCAGAAUAUGUGAUUAUUUGGUGGCUCUUUGAGGUAGAAGCCCAGGUUCAAAAUGAGAGCCCCCCAAAACUCCAAAACUCUCUUAACACUUGUCACUGGCAGAGAGAAACCUCUUGCCUGCAGGGGAGAAGAGGCCUCUAGAUUGUCUUUUUCAUUCUUUGGUGGAGAAAGAAAGAACCAGGCCAGGAGAGAAGAUUCCCUCAGAACCAAGAUCAGGACCACAGGAUCAAGGUACCACAUCUGAGAACAGAAGACUGUCAGAUCCUAUGGCCUGUGCUAGGACAUAGCAGUGCAUGGCCAAUGGGAGACUGCUAAUGAACUUUCUUUGGGAAAUGUAUCCCUCAAGUGUCCAUUGUGUUGAACGAUGAGAAAACAAUACUUGUUUUGAGCUCAGUCAACUUUUGGUCAGGAUGGGUAUAUUUAGAGUGGAUUGGUGCUUUCUAAAACCUCAAUAGCAUUUUCACCAACAUUUUAAACUUCUCUCCUGGCUUAAACAUCCUCAGUUUCUUUAAUAGUUAGUCUUGUGAGGUAGUUUCCAGAACUUUCCUUCUGGUCAGCUCUCUUUCACAUCUCUACCAAGCUUGUCAGUCUCAACUGUGAUGUGUGUAAUUAGCCAGCAUAUUUUUCUUGCAAUAUUGUGCCUGCAUGAACAUAAGACUUCAUAUGUAAUCUAGUAUGACUAGCCACAUUCUAAUAGUAUAAUAUGCUUAUGUGGUCAGAAGAAUAGUUUUGAGACAGUCCAAAGUUCCAUUAAUUGUUCCUCUACCCAAACAUAUCAUACCAUUUGCUUAUAAUAAACUUUUUGUUUUAUAGCCCUGAAAGUAACUGCUAAGAUCAUCUUAAAUCUCAUUCUGAACUUGUAGAUUUGCCUUUUCUGUUGUUUAUUUAUUUAUUUAUGUGGAUAUAGGAGUUUACAUCUAUUCCAUUUCAAGUGUAUCUAAGUCUAGGGCCAUCAUUAUAAGCAUAGUAUCAUAGUAUAUACCCAGUAAGUGAUAAUAAAUGCUUGUUAUAAUGCUUAACCUGUGCUUUUUAAAUAAAUAGGUGACUUUUGGGGUCUUCUUGCUAUUAUUAAUGGUACCUUUCCUUCCUCUCAUCUUUUCCUUUUUCUUUUCACUAUAUUUUACAUUCUUCCUGAAAUAAUCAGUGUAGAAAUCUAUUUCUUUUUCAUCUUCCUAUAUGUAUUAAUGAAAAGCCAGAAUUUGUCUCUAAUGGUCUUAGUGCCACGUUUUAAAAGAGAGGAAAAAAAAAAGGAAAAAAAAUGAAGUUAAACAUGCAUUGCCCUCCUUAAUAAUACAUGUUUUCUGUUCCCCGGACAGUUUGUUAUUUAGAAAUUAUGGACUCUAGUAUCUUUCCUAUAGCAAACAGAAACAGCAUAGGGUAAAUCUGAAUGAUUAGUAUGCAAGGGGCUGAUUCGGGGAUAUUCACUAUAGCUUGUCCUUUCAAUGUGUCUUCUUUGACAUCUUCACCCUGGGUAUCCUGGCAACAGAGCACUUCAGAAAAACAGAAGUCCCAUAGACACUGUUUGCUGAAUUCCAUGAGAAUAAUAAAAAGAGUGUUUUAUCUAAGCAUUUGCUGAAGACAGUAAUUUAGAAAAAUAGCAAGAUGGCAGCUAAAUGUACUUGAUUCAGAAGUGACUGACACUGAAGGAAACCCCUGGCUCAAGGAUGGUGUCAAUGAGUCAGAUAAUUUCUCAACCAUUUGCAGGAAGACAGGAGAGUGAAAAAGAGAUGACUUGUGAGCUAAACUGAGAAGUAAACCAACAUGAAUGUACCAGGAUAAGAAACCCCUAAAGCAGCCUAUUACUAUAAUGUGGGGCCUCCCUAGGAGCUGGAGAUGUGUCUUUGCUGUGCUGUAAACAACCUGAGGACAGAUGCCUUCUGCUGCAUGUGGAGUCUCCUCCCUGCUGUUCCAUUUGCUGUCUAGUAGUGGGGCAAGCUGAGUACUUAGGGUGGCACACUCUUCCUAGGCCCCAGGGGAUCCAAUAAACUUAGUAAGAUAUUUGGAACUUCUGAUCCAUUCUGUGCAGUGAUAAUGCUGUCAAUGCUCCCCUCUGGGCCUUAACAGGUUAAUUAAAGCACAGCUAUCAGAUCCUAGCUAUCUUGAUGCUUAGGCACUGGGGGACCAGAGGGCACAGUGGAUAAGAGAAUGGCUAACAUGAUUGGUCUCCUAGGUCUAUCUGUCUAAUUUUUUUCAGACGUAUCCUACAGUUAAUUUCCGUCUCUUUUUUUGUGAAUGAAGGGCUUACUAUGUUGGUGAAGAGACUGUCUGCUCUUCCCAAGGCUGAGUUAAGAAAUGUUUUUCCACUGCCAGGCUGAUGUCUUUGUUAAACAGAGCUCAAGAUUCAUACAGUGUGAAAACAGGGGAGAACUUUAGGGGCCAGAUGUUUAAACUUCUCAAAGUAUUAGAAUCCAGACAGGCUGAGUACUAGAGUUGACACAUUUUGACAGUGUGCCCAGCCCAAUAAUCCCCUCCUGGUGCCCACCUUGUACCACACUCCUUCCCCAAUUCACUCAAACUACCUUUGUCCUGUAUAAUCCUGACUCCCACCCCCAACCCCCAUUCUAAGCCACAGCUGGUUGGACCAGCCUCAGGCCCCUGACUCAAUCUGUCUAGUCACAGUCUCUCACCUGGGAGCCUGAAACUGAGACUCAGCAGCACUUGCAGUUCAGCUGGCUUUCUGAGCUGAGGCAUUUACACUUUGGGGGGGGUGGUGACUUUUUCUGAGCACGCAGAAGCAGAGAGAUGAGAAAGACAUAGCCACACAGCAGAAAUAGAUGAGAGAACACAGAGAAGGAGAAAGAGGGAAGGGAAAGGGGGUGAGGGGAACCGGCUGUCUUGAUUUUUGAUGGAUUUCUAGUUUCUAGUUUCAGUUUCUUCUGAAAUUCAAUUCCACUUGUUUCUUUUGGGCUCUAUGAGAGACAUAUACCCCAGUUCCUAUUUGAGUUAAGCGAAUUUGAAUAAGUUUUGCUUAAUUGUUAAAAAAAAAAAAAAAGUCUUAAACAAGACAAAUUGAUGAAAGACAGCUCUAGAACGGGAAUCCAGGUCUCCUGUCUCAGGUCAAUGUUUGGCCACAUUACUGGCCUCCUGCCAAUACCUCAACUCUAGGAUGCAGCAGAAGACCCUCAGUGGAGUUCUCUUGACAACUGCACUGAGUCCUGGUGGGGCUGGAAGAGCCCCCUAGAAGUUAUUACCUGAAUGGUUCCACCCUCCAGCCCUUGGUCCUAGAUUGUUUCUAUAUUGGACGAUCUACUGGUACCCAGUGCGCAUCCUCACUCAGAUUGGAACAGAAAUCUGUGUUGUGAUCCCCUCCACAUGCCCAUCUGAAUGUACAUCUGAAAAAUCUUGGGCCCUGUGUCCCUCAAACCUGUAUGACCUCUGACCAUAGCACAGCCAGUGUUUUCAGGUGAUGAAGGUGAUAACUUUUGCUUCUUUGGAAGCGUCACUUGGAAGUCAUCAGAAAAGAAUUCCAGGCAGGUCCUCACUUACUGCUGCUCUAAGAUGCCAGCUGUUGUUUUGUUAUUCUGUGCCAUUAGGAUAAGGGCAAACUGAUGUUCCGAGAGAGGCUAAUUGUUGGGAGCAGCAAGGAAACAGGAGCAAAACUGGGCUUCUGAUCAUGUAAACCGUGUUUCUGUAGCUCCCACUGCAUGAGACUCCUGCUCUCCAGGACAAAGCAGACUGCGUGCAUUUGGCACAAAUAAAAGCCAUGUAGUGAUCUGGGUUUGAUCUCUGCACAGAAGAGCUUCCUGUAUAAUUUAUGGCUUUAGAAUGGGCAGUUAGAUUUUUGGGCAGAAAAGAAGCCUAACAUAUUCUUGUCAAGAAAGAGUAGAAUAAGUGGGAUAAAUGCUACUUGGGAAGCUCCUGACCAUUCCCACACUAAUCAGAAGAAAGUUCAAGUGAUGUUGAUUAUACUGUAAAUCAGUUCUUUGGAGCCUAAUUUGGCCUACCUAAAUUUAGAGACUGUCUGCAAUCUCACAGAGGGCACAAAACAUGGUUAAGAUGGAAAGUGCUAGUCUUUUUGUGACUAUUGUCACAGCAAUACUUUGCUUUCUGGAAGACAAGGCAAGUUCUGUUUGCAGGAACCAAUGUGCUAGUGGAGAAAGCCAGGACACGUCAACAUCAAAGUGGACUGAAGUCUUUGAAAUUACUGUCCUUUUACCCUAUUUGUGGAUCACCUUCCUGGCCUCCCCUUCAAAACGCCUGCAGGUACAUACAAACUCCUAGUAAUGUUCACACACAAAGGCACACACAGCCUCACACCACAAAAAUAAUCCCUUUGAUAAAACAUAUUCUCAAACUAAUGUAAUAAUAGAAUAAAUGGCUCUAAAGUCUGCUAGUUGUCUAUUGCUGUAUAAGAAAUUAUCCCAGAACUUAGCAGCUACGAACAACAAAUAUUCAUUAUGUCAUGGUCUGCAGGUCAAGAAACUGGACAUGGCUUAAUUGCAUGCCUCUGGCUUAGGGUCUUUCUCAAGGCUGCCAUUAAGGUGUCAGUGAAGCUGCUGUCAUCUCAAGCCUCAAUGGGGAAGGAUCUACUCCUAAACUCACUUAUGAGGCCAUUGGCAGCUUUCAAGAGCUCACUGGCUGUUGGCCAGAGACAUCAGUACCUUCCGUGAGGGUUCCAUAGGGAAGCUAGCUGGCUUCACUCAGAGCAAGCACGCAAGCAACAAGAGGUCAGACUGUGAGAGAGGGCACCCAAGACGGAAGCCACCUAAUCUCAAAAACAGCUUUCUAGGAUCUCUGCUGCAUCCUAUUCACCCCAAGUGAGUCACUCUCUGCAGUCCCUACGUACUCAAGGGAAGGGGAUUUCACAACGGUAUAUGUGCCAAGAGGAGGGAGUCACUGAGGAUCACUUUAGAGCUCCCUGCCACAAAAGCCAUCUCCUUCAGCUAUCCAGGCAGCCACAUCUCUGCUCUGCAUGAAAGCUUCUUGUACUGGGAGCUUGGCCGCUUUUGAGGCUGCUGUUUUCAUUCUACUUCUAGAAAGUUCUUCCUUAGGUUGAAGCAUGAAGGCUGUGUUCUUUGAGUGGACAUCUUUUGUGGGUGCCUGUCCAGCUUUCCUUUCCUUUCUGGCACUGGCAGUUCACUUUCCCACUGGGGCCGCUCUCCCCUAUUCUUAGUCUGGGCUUGUGGUGGGCAUAGGAUCCAGCGCUGGAUAAUCAGACAUUUGCAUCUUCUUGGUCAUAAUGGUUGAUUAAACAAUGGGUACAGGCCAUAAGCAGAUUCAAUUUAUACACCUUGAGCUAUCUUUCUACCAUUUGUGUGAACCUGUGUCCGUCAUUCCCCUCACCUUCCCAACGCCCCUUCUACAUUUUUUUCAAGGGCCAGAAGUUGCAAUUCUUUAGAGGACCACCCUUGAACUACCCCAGCCAUAGAGAACUGAAAGUGUCCAAGAAUUUAUGUCUCUCCUUCCUUUAUUUUGUUUGUUGGUUUGUUUUUUUACAAUUUUGACCAGUUAAAUUUUUUUUAAAGAUAUAAUUCACUUACCAUACACAAAGACAAUUCAUUGUUGUUGUUUUUUUUUGGUCUAUUCACAGAUAUGUGGAGCCACAACCAUAGUCAAUUUUAGAGCAGUUUCAUCCCUAAGCAACUACUAAUCUACUUUCUGUAUCUAUAGAUUUUCCUUUUCUGAACAUUUCAUACAAAUUGGAUCACAUAAUAUGUGGUAUCUUGGAACUGACUUCUUUUACUCAGCAUAAUAUUUUCAAGGUUCAUCCAUUCUGUGGCAUGUACCAAUGGCUUAUUCAUUUUUGUGCCCAAAUAAUAUUCCAUUGUAUGGAUAUACCACAUUUUAUUCAUUCAUCAGUUGAUGAACCAUUUGGGUAGUUUCCACCUUUUGGCUAUUAUGAAUAAUGCUACUAUAAACAUUCAUGUACACAUUUUUGUGUAGAGUAUGUUUUCAUUUCUCUUGGGUAUAUAUAGCUGUAAGUUCAGUUGGCUGAAUCAUAAGGUAACUCUGCCAGAGUGUCUUCCAAAAUGGCAGCACCCUUUUACAUUCCCACCAUUAGUGUAUGAGGGUUCUGAUUUCUCUACAUCCUCACCAACACUUGUUAUUAUCUACCUUUUUAAUUCCAGCCAUCCUUGUGGCUGUGAAGUGGUGUCUUGUGGCUAUGAUUUACAUUUCCCUAAUGAGUAAUGGUGUUGGACAUUUUUUUCAUGUGCUUAUUGGCUGUUUUUAUAUCCUCCUUGGAUAAAAGUCUAUUCAGAUCCUUUGCCUAUUUUUGAACUGGAUUCACCUAGCUCCAUGACCUUAGAGACAACUCUGAGGCAUGACUUUCUCUCCAGUUUCUCUGAAGACUCACAGCAAAGCAAGCACUCUGUGAGAAUUUUUUUGAGACAGUGUCUCACUCUGUCGCCCAGGCUGGAGUGUAGUGGUGCGAUCUCGGCUCACUGGAACUUCUACCUCCUGGGUUCAAGCAAUUCUCCUGCCUCAGUCUCUUGAGUAGCUGGGACUACAGGCGCGCACCACCAAGCCAGGCUAAUUUUUGUAUUUCUAGUAGAGAGGGAGUUUCACCAUGUCGGUCAGGCUGGUCUCAAACUCCUGACCUUGUGAUCCGCCCACUUCGGCCUCCCAGAGUGCUAGGAUUACAGGCAUGAGUCACGGCGCGCGGCCAAGACUUUUACCUUCUUCCCUUCCCUAUCAGACUCCUCUGGGAGCAUGUGGUAGCCUGUCUUAAAAAAUGACUGUCUUCAAUUUCUUCUUUGCCCAUAUACAUCUCAAUCCUCCAUGGCCCCAUUGACAGGCAGAAUCUCUGCCUCCAUUCACUUGAAUCUGGACCGGCUUGUGUCCAGUUUGUCUAACAGAAUAGAGCAGAAGUGAUGCUGCUCAUUUCUGGGCUUAGACUUAAGAGCCUAAGAGGACUGGCAGUUCCCACCUUUUGAUUCCUUAUGUAAGAAGUCCGAAUGGCAGAAUCUUAUCCAGCCUCUUGGUUUUCAAUGUUUUUUCAGGCCAAUGCAGUUUUAUUUUACUGCAAAACCAUUUUUUUUUUCUGAUUGUAAAUUUGUUUCUUGUAGAAAAUCUAGAAAAUAUAAAAAAAAAGUGAGAUAAUAGAAAUCGCUGGUAUUAUACUUCUUAAUGAUAAACACUGCUAACAUUUUAGUAUAUAUCCCAGCAGUUUUGCCUUUGUAACUAAAUCUGUAUCUAGCCAUCAUUUAUCUAUCAAUCAAUUUAUCUUUAUGUAUUUUAUAAAAAAUGUUUGGCUUGAUUUAUAUGUACUUUUCUUAAACUCUGUCAAGUUUCUGACUACAAUCAUUCUACUCCUAUUAGCAGCUUGAGACCCUCUGAUAAGGUAUUAGAAUGUGUUUGAGUUGAAGAAUUAUAAAUUCAGAAAGAAAGCAUGAAAGAGGAAAGAGAAUAAGAGCCACAGUUUCCUUCUUAAGUAAUAAUAACAUGUCAGAUCCUUAGCAAGCCUAGUGUCUUUAUCUAUUUAUUCUCAAAAUUGAGCUGCUUAUUUUCAAAUAACCCAUUUUUGUUAAGGGAAUGGAGGGUAUGAGCUACAAAAGAACUUCUCCUCAUGAAAGCACCUAUUCAGCAGAUGCUCCAUUUCCUAAAACACUUAGUCUAGAUAAACAAAUGACAGCCAACAGAGAUCUUCAAGUUUCCAAUGAUGAAACUUUAAAAUAAUAAGUUCUGCUUCAGGUAGCACUGGGUGAAAUAAAAUCACAGAACACUAUUCUCAAAAGUUGACUGCAAAGGCCGGGGGUUAAUUGCAUGGAGGGAUGAUGGAGCUGCUGGGGUAGAACAGGUCAGAAUGCACUGGCUGGCAUGGAUGCUGGAUGCCCAGCCUAGAGGUCCCAGGGAGGAGAAUCGCUAGUACCUUGGUAGCAUAUCCUAAGUGAAGUCCAUGAAUCAUUUGUAGCUCCAGAGUUACACAAAAUAAAUCCUUGGAUAAAGCAUCUGCUCUACGAGGAUGAUGAGGGGACGAGCACAAACCAGAGGAAAGGAUACUCUGACAAGCUCAAACUAUUGUAGCUAUGAAGAAUCAACAGAAAGUUGAUUCCAAAUAUGUGUAUAGUGGGAAUCUAUGUAAAAUUCAGGAAAAUCAGCUUUGCAACAGAAUAAAGAGAUAGCAAAUGUGUUAAAGGUGAAGUCAUUUGGAGAAUGCAGUGGUUACCUUUUUUACCAUUAUAAAUAUUGAAAAUGUCAUUUGUUACAUCCAAGCUUGGAAGAGAGGAGGCAUGGGGCUGUAAGUGAAGCAUCUGUUUUUCUUCCUGGCUCUCUUCUGGCAUGGGAAGACUGGUCUCCUUUUCCUUGUUGGAAGACGCUGGCUUUGAGGCUUGCCAACACACCCUACACACUCAUGUUUGCUUGAUGGCAGUGUCAUAUUUUAUAGGUUCUCACAACUUAUCAUGUCCAAAUUUCCUGCCAUUAAUCACCAGUGCCUGCCAUCUUCACAUUUCUGAAAUAUAAUCUAAUGAAUUUACAUUCACUGAAACAAACUCUUUUUCCUGGCUGCUGUAGCCCUGUGAAAGGAAUAGAGAUCUCUGGCAAGUUGUCAGGUCAAGUGCAAUUCCACCAAGAAAGAAUAACCAUCUCAAUUCUAGCAUCAAGUUUUUUUCUAGAAAGCACUUUUGCAAAUCUGUGAUUGCUGUAGCAUUAAUUAGAAGAAACUUUGAUUUUAUUAGAUAGCAGCAAUUGACCUUGGUUAGCUUCCCAAGCUGAAUUGAGGCUGACUGGCUGGUUGACAGGCUGGGUAUUGUGACAAACGCCCUGACCAUGCUGGUUUACCUCAAGUGAUGUUAGCAUUUAGACAAAACAAUGCCCAAACCCCAUUAAAUGCAAAGACAACAGAUGCAUGUUAGAAAAUAGUGAAAUGAGAAUGCACAUUAAAUAUACGACUCUUUCUGUAGAAUAAAUUUAUACCAUAAAUAUUAGAACUUAUCGAUUCCACAUAUUGGUAAUAAAAUACGUGUUAUGUAGUUCUUGACCUCAUUUUUAUUACAUAUUCAUUUAAUGCCCACUAAAAGGCUACCAUAGUGCAUUAAUUAAGAUAGUAUUAGCAAUGAUUAAUAAAGUCCCAAAUAAGGCUGUGGUGGCAGAGAUAAAGAGUUGAGAGCUGAAGGAUAUUUCUGAUCUAGAACCCCCAGGAAAGUGCAGAGAAGAAACAAAGAUUGCAUAGCUAUGAGCUUUUCCUCUUGGGAGACACCGUUAACUAAGUGGGGGAAAUAAUUCAGUUCUGGGAGCAUUUGAUUCAAAGUGUCUAUGAGACAUGAAGAGAAUGAAAUAUUAACUAUUUAACACAGGAAGCCUUGAUGAAUUAAAACGUCUGUCUGAAGAUGCCCCCUCUCCUACUUAGAUAAGCAGAAUGGGGCCUUUGGGCAGAGGAUCACAGUGCUCGCUGCUGGCAGUGACUAGACAUGAGGUAUAUCUCAAGUAGAUUUAAGAGAUGGAAUCUGGGGCAAAAGCAUAUUUUAAAAGCCAGGAGGAUGAUCUGACCACACGAAUGAAUGUCAUUCUAAUAAACUUCACUGUAGAAGAAAUAUCUCUUUGUUUUCUGAAGACAGAUUUGAUUUAAGACUCUAAGGGCCCACUUGUCCAAUUGGUGGCAUAUUCCAUUGCUAUCACUGUGGCUCCCUCUCUCUCUUGGGACUGCACCAUAUCCUGGGGUGGGAGGAAGUCUUGCAUGAUGCCUGAAAAAAAUGAAGUCCUCUGAUUUUAAAUCUUCUUGAUAUUAAAUCUUUUGUGUUCACGGCUGGCAUCCUCAUUAUUUAAGCCCUCAUUGUCUCCUGUUAUCUGAUGGCUCACUGCUUCCACAUUUCAUGGGUCAUGGGCAGCUCUGAUGAAGCCAGUACCCUCUGUGCUUAGGGUCUCGCCCCUUGGUUGUCCAUGGAAACAUUUCUUUCUGGGGUCUUUGUGCCUCAAGGUACCAAGACCAGGUAGUUCUCCACUCCUCUGGGCAUCUGCUGCUCUCUACUACCCCCAGCCUAGGGGAAUCCCCUCCUGCACUUUCUACUUCUCCAAGCCCCUCUGUUUCUUCAGUUGAAUCCUCCUGUCCCCAAAGGAUUUAGAGUUAAGAAAACACAAACCAGAAAAUCUCACAAACUUACUGUUUUGCACUCUGCCACGGACUUGCCCUAAGGCAAUGUAUCAAAGAGCAGGCUCCCUGCUUUGAUGAAGGGAGGAAAAGGGAAAAGCACAGCAGGAAAACAACUUCAAUUCCUACCUCGAAAUGUUAUGUGGCUGCUUUAGCCCCGGCCCUGAAGGGGUUAGGGAGAGAGAAAUGCCAGGUUUUGAAACCAAUGCAAUGAAAAGCCUGGUGAACCCAUAGAUUGCAGGCUCAGAGAAGAGGGUGGGAGAGGAAACCUGAAGUCAGUCCUUCAGCUGGGGAGGAAGUGUUUGACCAUCUCACCCUUCCAUGAUCAGGGGUACAUAAAAAUGAGGGGAGGGGAAGCCCUGUGAUUUUUAUUUUCUGUAUUUCCUUUUGUAAGAGCUGCUAAAAGGUUUUCCUUCAAAAAUAAGUUGGAAUUACUCGAUUUUCUGCAAACUGACGGAUCUGCUGUUGUAUUUCUGCUUCUUGGUAUGCCUUUCACCCAAAACUCAGGGAACGGUGUUGCUGGAAGGCUGAGGGUGAGUAGAAUGGGAACAUUGGUUGGUCUACUCACUGCUGGCCUGGACUCAGUUAUUGGUUAACUCGCGGCACAGAAAAACCACAGCUGAUGGUGCUCUUUCAAAGUAAAUCAGCAUUCUAGGCACUGAAAGGGAAACUAGGUUUGAGGGAAUUGCAAAGACAGGCUGAGAAAAGAUCAAACCACAGAAGGUCAGGUACCACCAAGAGGUUUACUGGCAGAAUGAGGUAGCCUUUUUAUUGAAGAAUGUAGGCAGCUGGGGAAAGACAUCAAAGGAGAUUGUCUAUUCACAACUCCCUCAUUCCGCUGUGGCCUGCAUCUUUGAGUCUGCCCAGAAAAGAUCAAGAGGAAAGAGAGCAGGGAGUGGGGAGAAAGCCUCUGCUCAGCAGGUGCUGAUGUGACUGAGGAGUGGCAUGGAUGUCUGAUGAAGGGAGGGGCGAGGCAGAGCUGUGCCUGCCACAGGUUUAAUGCAGAAGUCAAUCUGGGAGGGGCGGUGUGAAGUGACAGAGGCGCCCAGGGCUGCUCUCCCUUUCCCUGCCAGGUGGUGACAAGCUUUAGUAACUUCAUCAUGCACUGUGCACAAUUGUAGCUUCAUUCAGUUGUCUAGGAGGGGCUGGAUAUGAACUGGUAGGUGUGUAGCCAAACACAGAAUGGGACAUCAUCAUGAUGAAGACCCCAGGAGUCAACAGAGCCAACCAUGCAAACCACUUUUCCUUGCUAGACCUUAUUUGUCUCACCUGUGAAACAAUACACUUAAGGAGUUGUGAGUAUUAAACCAGACCAUACAUUUCUUAUUUGUCUAUUCAUCAAUUUUUUUUUUCUGGUGGUCAGGAAUAGCAGUGCAAAAAAUAAAGUCUCUGCCUCCAUGGAAGAUACAGACAAUAAGCAACUCAACUUAGAAAUAUAAAGAGAGUGUCAGGUCCUGAGAAGUGAUAGGAGGGAAAACACAGCAGAGUAGACAGGGUGAUGGAGGAUGCAGCUUCAGACAGGGUCUCUGAUGGGGGCAGACACAAAUGAAGCAGUGGGGGCAAGCCAUUCUGCUCUCUAGGGGAAGAGCAUUUUAGGCAGGGGAACAGCAAAGACAACACUGAGAGUGGAACCAGUUUGGUGUGUUUGGGGAAUGGCCAGAGGCCAGUGAUAAAGGAAGGUGAUAAAGGAAGGAGUCACAGCAAAUGAGGUUAGAGACGUAGCUGGAUCACCUGGGGCCGUGAUAGCCAUCAGAAAGACCUAGGAUAUUAUUUUAAGUUUGUUGGAAAACCCUAACAUAUGUGAAGAGUUUCACUAAAACAGGUAUGGAACACUUCCUAUGUGCCAGGCCUCUUCUAGGCACUUUAUUAAUUCAGUCCUCACACAACUCUGUGAUGGGGCCCAGAAGGUGAAGUGACUUGUCCACGAUCACAUGGCUGGCCGGUGGCAGAGCCAGAAUUUGAACUAAGGCAGGCUACCUUCAGAUUAAUGUUCCUGACUUUCUUCUCCCUUUGCUCAAUGUCUGGAACAUAGGAAAUACUCAUGACCUGAUUUUACUGUUGCUGUUUCAACUCAUCAAUGGCUUCCUGUUUUCCUAGAAAAACAUCCCGACUCCCCAGUAGAGUCUGCAAACUCUGCUGCCGUGGCUCUGCCGUCUUCUGUGGCCACUUGCUCCCUUCCUCAGGCUCUAUCCUCCAGGCACUGUGGUCCUGCAGCUUCCUGAGCAUGUCUACCCUCUGCCCUCUUUGGGAACUUCGCACAUGCUAAAGCCUCUGCCUGGAAUGCUCUUCUUUCCAGGGAGCCUAUGGCUAGUGUUGCUCAUCCUCCUCUUCUCAGAGGAGACUUCUGACCCACAUACCUAAUAGUAGUUCCUGUGAUUAUAGUAGCAGCACCUUGUGAUUUUCUUUGUUGGUUUCUUGUUUCUUCAUGAGCUUGUUACGUGCAGAUUAUUUCAUGUAUUUAUUUGCUUGCUGUUUUCGUUUUGUAUCUCUUAUCUAUGAGACUAUAAGCUCCAUUUGGCUUGUUUCCUUGCAAUCCCUGGGGCUAACAUUCAAAACAUUUUUUGAAUAAAGACGUGAAUGGACAAAUUAUUUUUUAAAGCAGGAUUUUAUAGGAAAUUCAAAUGAUUUUUUCCUUUUUCAACAAUACAUCUAGUUGGAGAUGGCAUGAUUGAAGUGUCAUAUUCAGUUACAUCAAAGUGCUCAUGGUUUCUUUCCCUGUAGAUGAAAAGAUUUUGAGUUUUGCACAGUGACAAAACAAAACUUUGACUUACCUUUCAAAAUUUAAAUCCCUAAUUUUAUGCAUUAUUGACAGUUCUUUCAUGUUGCUACCAGUUAUAAUUUGUUUUUUCUCAUGGGAUGUAUUCUAGAAGUCAAGAGACAUCUAAAUAAUUAUUUUUCUAGCCUAAAUGGGUAAUAUUAUAUGCAAAUGUUUAGAAAACAUAAUUCUUUGAUGAAUCAUUUAUUAAUUAAUGCAUUAAUUUAUUCAAACAUUAAUUGAAUGCAUCUAUGAAAUAGGUAUUGUGCUACACCCUGAAGCAAAAAGAUAUGUCAAAUGCUUUCUUCCCAAUAAGUUUAUAAUUUAAUGAGAAAGACGAUUAAGCAAAAUUACAGCCCAGUAUGACAAACACUGUACUAGAAGGAAGCCCAAGACAUUGUGGAGUAUGUGAGGGGGCAGGGAACACAUGCCCAGGGUGGCUUCCUGAGGAUGCAGCUGAAAUGAGCUCCGUAAGCCAAAGGUGAAGCAGGAAUCAGGAAUGGCUGAGGGAAUAGGGUGUGCAAAGGUGCAGGGGUGGAAACAGCCUAGAACAUUCCAGGAGCUCCAGUCAGAGCAGUUAGCGCCAAUCCUACAUGUACAUUCUCAAAGUGCUCUAUGUUGGCAACUACACAAACACAAGCUCCAUUGUCUGGCUCUCAGAUCCCUCCACAUGUUGACCUUACCCCUUCUCCAGGAGCUUCUCUCUCCUCCAUUCAGGGUAAUCCUGUGCAUGCUAUACUUAUUCCAACCUGUAAACCUUUGCUCAUGAUAUUCCUUAUCCAUAAGCCCCCUUCCUACCUUUCAUAGCCCGUUUCAGCUAUUGCCUCUUCCAGGAAGCCCUGUCUGAUUAUACCUGUCCAUGGUGAUCACUCCCAGUUCUGAACUGAUUUUGGUCCCUAAAGACAAUUCCUUAAAAACCCAUUUCAUUAUCUUUUAAUUAUUUGGGGGUGUUAAGUUUGCAUUCCCAACUCAUUUGUGAAUUUGGUAAUGGUAGGUACCGUUUGUGACUUUAAAUUUUUUGUCUAGCUCAGUGGGCCAUGACAAACACUUUCAGUCAGUACCAGAACUUAAUUAAUAUUAACUGGACACUUUUUUCAUGGGCACUGCUGUAUGCUGAUUGUGGUUUGUAGUCCCUAGCCUUUUGUAUACCGGGUGAUCAAAUGGACAAGUUUUAUUUCUCCUACACUAACUUAUCUUGUGACCUUGAACAAUUAAAAACAAUCAACUAGAUCUGCUUUCUAUAUCAACAUGUAAGCGUCACUGGAAUGCAAAGUCGAGUGGAAAUAGCAACUUGUAGAAUGGUACAACAUGAUGCAAUUUAUGUAAACUUUGAAAAAUAACGGUAUACUAUAUUUUUAAUGAGUGUAAACAUAAAAAAAAUUUUUAAAUGGACUAGAAGAAUAUACAUGCAGUUCAUGGUAAAGGUUGACACUGGAUUAGGAGAAGGUGGUCGAAGAAGAUUAUACUAUGAUCUAUUUUGAUUUUACAAAAUAAAACAUUCUAAGUAAAGAAGACAAAAUAUUUUCAAUGGUUAAUACUAUUUUUCCAGUGGUUCAUAUGUUAUUGGAUUGUUUGUUUUAUUAGUCUUUAUAUUUUUCUCCAUUUUAAACACUUCUCAAACUCCAAAUCACACAUAGGCACACAGAAAUUACAUGUGUGUUUACAGCUGGAACAUUUAGGAAAAUUGGAGACAAGGAAUGUGUAGAUAUAGCUUGAACAGCUCAAUUAUUGUGAGUAGAAAAUUUUUCUUGUAAAAUAUUCAAGCUCCUGCUAUUUUACCAUUAUAGCUCCUUGUAGCUCAAGAUACAAUUCUAGUAAAAAUAAAUUCUGUAGCCUUUGCAUGGUCUUUGGUUUUAAUGUAGGCUUCCUGAGUUAAUGUGGGAGCUGCCCUGAAGGACUUCAGCUCACUCUUUCUGAACCAACAGAAGCUUUCUCUGUGUCUUUUCUGAACUGUAUGAUUUCAGGUGAGGUUAAUGAGCAUUAGUUAUACCAGUAGGUGGACUAUAUGGGUCCUGAAUUUCAAUGCCUGAACCCUUGUCAUUUUAAGGUUGAUAGUGACUCAGGAGAGUUACAAAUAAGUAGAUAGCAUCAAGGGGCUGAUCAUUAACAUUCUCAUAAAAGCUGAGAGGGUGGGUGGAGGGAUCAGCAGUGAUCUAGAGCCCGGAGGACCUGAGGACAUCACCAACUUACAGGGCCUGAAUUGCUCUCACUUAAACUCACAUCAGUGGAAAAGAUGGGAAGACUUUAAAUGAACAGAUUGAGCUGAUUCAACAAGACUGUGUGACCUUCCAACCAAGUUCAGCCUGAGGAGAUAAUAAAGACACAAUCGAACCCAAAUGAGAGGGCCCAGUUGUUUUAAUAAUAACUCACAGAGAAGGAAGUUUCUUUGAAAUCCAAGUCUGCUUAGGCUCCUAGAAAAUAGGUCUUGAAGUAGACAUUUAAAAAUUCUUUAAAAUUAUGUAUGAACUUACAUUCAUAUAUGUAUGUACUUGCAUUUAUAUAUAUAUAUAUACACACACACCCCCACAUAAACAGGUAAAACAUAUAUAUGAGUGAUAUACAUGAUGUAUAUAUCGUAAUAUAUAAAUAUAUAUAACAUAUAUAAAAUAUAUAUAUAGAUCACAACAAAUACAGAUCACAACAAAUCAGUCCUAUGAUCAGUAAAUGCAUGGUGAGUGAUUGUCAUGAAUAGACAAGCUUAGUAAUGCUUUUCUCCUGAAUUUCUUAUUGUUGAUGAAUAUUUGUUAAUCCUCCUGAAGUGGGCUGAAAUUUCAGGACAAAGGGUAACAACUGGGACAACCAGGGAAUUGGGGAUCUGGGGAAGGAUAAGGAAUGACAAGUCUCCCACAGCCAGGAGAGCUCCCACUGUCACCAGCAUAUUCAUUCUUGUCUCCCCAGCUGGGCUUACUUGUGGAGCAGCCACUUGCCAGUCUCUGUUCUAGGCACUAGACAUACACCUUCUCAUGGAAUCCUCACCGCAAGACCCAUAAGGUACAAGUACCUCAUUUUCAGAACUGAAGGCUUGGGUUAAGUAGCUUUGCUCAGUUAGGUAACCAAGAGGUGGCAGAGGUGGGAUUUGACCUUCAUUUGGCUGGCUCCCGAUGCCUGCAUUAAUAACUACCAGUAAGGAUAAUUUUGACCACAGGCAACAGCAGAUGGAAGGUGCUUCCUCUCUAAUACAAGGGAGAAACAUCACCAUUCAGGACAGUUUAGGCUGCAAUUAAAGGUAUAUACAGGUAUAAACAACCUCAGCAGUUUUAAGAACCAUAGAAUAUUCAUCCACCAUGUAAAGAUGCUUCCAAACCACACACCUGAGAUAAGACCUUUUGGGUAUCUGCUCUCCACUGGGUAGAAGACAGAGUCUUCUGGGGAAUGAGCAUGGCUUUGGAGCCAGUUAAACUUGUGAUCAAAUCCCAGUCUUGCCAUUUAAAUUUGCAGCCUUAGAAAGUUACUUAAUCUCACUGAGUUUCAGUUUCUGAAGCUCUAAAAUGGUGACAGCAGUACCUACCUUGCAGGGGUAGUCUGAAUACUGGAGAGAAACAGCAAGCAGCACAUGGUCAGUACUCAAUGGACAGCAGUUAUUAUUAUUAAUAACACCAAUUAUACAUAUUUGUUGGACAUUGAACUUACAGAAAACAGUGCACUGGACAAAAUAGACCUAGACCCACAGGUGGACAGUACAGAGUUCCCUGUGAAAACGCCCUUGCUUUUGCUGAACAAGGGCGCCGAGGCUUAAUGGAGGAGCACACGGUAACCUCCAUCCAAAUUUUAUAAGGUGGUUGAUCCACAGAACCUUGAAUGGUUAAACUUUAAUAGCCAACAGUUAACAAUUACUUUGUGCCAGGCACUUUUUAAAGUGUUUUACAUAUAUUAGUCUUUUAAUCAUUUAAUCCUCACAAUAACACCAUUAGGUAGAUAACUAUUUUGGCCUCAUUUUACAGUUGAAGAAACAGGCACAGAGUAUUUAGAUGUGUUGCCCAAAGUCACAGGCCUUAAGUGGCAGAGCUGGAAUUUAAAUUCUGGCAGUCCAUCUCCAAAGACCUGGAACACUUGGGGGCAAUACUUGGCAUUUACAGCCCUGCAGGUUUUGCUAUUGUGAUAGAGUUGUGUGCAAAGCAAAAUGGCAGCUAGUGGAAGGAGUUCCUCCACCUCAGCAAUACAAAGGCUCACUACCCAGAGUUAAAGACAUGCUUCUUCUCAGGAUGACGUCACUAGCAUCUAAUUUUAGAGCCGUUAGGUAGCAGGGAUUCUAACCAAUAUUUACUGAAAUCAAACUAAAUGCACAUUUUAACAUCUUGGAAAUAUAUUUGCCUUAGUGACAUGCUAAGUGGGUACAAUGUCAAGGCAAGAUCACAGACGACAACAUCUUUGUUAGCCAUAUACAGGCCAGCUUUUGUGAUGUUAUUUUUUUGGGGAAGUCGUGUGUUUUGUUGAUUGAUUUAUAUAAACUCCAACUUCUUUUAUGCUGCAAAUUUUGCUUGUUUCCCUGUCACAAAUUUAUCUUGUUUGUAGUACAGAGUGUUCUAUGGUCCAAAUGUUUGUGUUCCCCUAAAAUUCGUGUGUUGAAACCUAACCACCAAUGUGAAAGUAUUCGGAGGUGGGGCCAUUGGGAAGUGAUUACGUCUUGGGGUGGAGCCCUCAUGAAUGGGAUUAAUGUCCUUACAAAAGGAGCUAGAGAGACAAUCCUCACUCUUUCCACCAUGUGAAGACAUGUCUGGUGAGGGCCAGAAAGCAGAUUCUCACCAGAAACCAAAUCUGCUAACACGUUGAUCUUGGACUUCCCAGCUUCCCAAACUGUGAGAAAGAAAUUUAUAUUGUUUAUAAGCUACCCAGGUUAUGGUAUUUUGUUAUAGUAGCUUGAACAGACUAAGACAAGUGUAUUUGGGGCUCAAAUGAAUGUGGUAGCCAAAGGCAUUCAGACGCUAGGAGUUCUGAAAUAUUUGAAUGCUUUUCAGUUAGACAUAAGGAAACAAAUAGCAAGGUAGUAAGGAGCACUUAGGGGAACACACAGCUGCUCAAUUUUAAUCUGCCCAUUCUCAUUUAUAACAUAGACCUAGAGAGCUAUAGCUUUACUUUUUUGUGCCACAGAGAGUGGUUGGGUCCUAGAUUUUUAUUCUUGACUACAGAAAGCAUUGGCAUAAUCAUUUCUACCAAAUAGGUAGGUGAUUUGUGAUCUGGGUAACACAACACCAAUAUUCUGUUAUGUAGUUAUCAUCGGUAACAUGUCCAGGAAACUGCAUGAGUUUGGGCAACUCCAUCUUUUAUUAGGCAAAUCUGAAUCUGCAGAGCUUUAUUCACUUGGAUUUCACAAUUGAACUUGUGAUUGCUGGACCUGGCUUUGCCCACUGGGGAGAAGGCCUUACUAAAUGUACAGAUAAGUCUAGGCUUGGACAAAAUGCAGAUGUUGGUGAACUUUUCAAUGUUGAUUCUUCCUAACUAGCAUCACCUUUUCCUACCAUGAUGAUGUCCACUGUGAAUCAUGCCUGUGCCUUCAUCUUCUUUCUCUCCUUCUCCUAGCAAACUUGGGACUUGAGAAAUAAUUUGAUAAAAUCACUUACAGUAAUAGGUAAUUGGUAAGGUUUAAUUAUUUUUUACUAUAUUCUGGUAUAUUUGCAUUUUAAUAGAACUUCAGCUUUUCUACGAAGGACUAAAUAUAAUCUUGAGGUAAGGAACUGGUCAAGCUAGUGUAUUUUUGGAAUUGAAUAUUUCUUUUUAGUACCCACGAACACAUAAAUGGCUAUUUUUACUGCAUACCUAAAGGCUUGAUCUUGCAUAUUAGAUACAUAUCUUUUAAAGAAAUGCAUAGCUUGUUGAGAAAAAAAACUGUAUAUCAAGUCUGUUUGUUAAAUAUUAAAGGCAAAUAAUGAGAAUAAUUGUAAAUGAUUCUAACAGUGUGUCAACAAGGUUUGAUAAUACAUGUGCUUAUAAAGAUUAGCAAGUUAUUUUACGUAUAAACUUGAUGUUAAAAUAAACAUUUCCAUAAUUUGAAUUUUGCACUACUUUUGAGUAUAAUAACAUAGCUAUGAGGCCUUAUAGAUUAGUGUUUUCAAAGUAUGUUCUCUGUAUUAGCAACUUCAGCAUGACCUGGGAACUUGUUGGAAACACAUUCUUGGGCUCUACCUGAGAGCUACCAAAUCAGAGACUUUGGAGGUGGGCCCAGCAAUCUGUGUUUUAACAAGCUCUCUGGGUAAUUUCAAUGCACACUAAAGUUUAAGAACUGGGCUUGUAGAUGACUAUGUUUGAAUUCAUCCUAAUUCACAGAUAAGUAAAUUAAGGGUCAGAAAGAUUAAGAGGUCGAGCUGAGCUGCUGAUUUUUAGCAGUGUUCUUUCAACUGUUCUCAGAUAAGUCCUCUCAGCUAAUCAAUCUGAAUGAGAGAGGUUUGGUGCAGUAUCUCUGAUUGACAGGACAGUCAAAUCUCUUCCUGAUUGUGUGGCUUUACCCUUGUAAAGGCCUGAGGGUGAGACUUGAACAACUUCAAUCUCUCAGAGCCUCUUAGGGAUCAGGCUGCUCCAUAUUUGCUCUCUUUAAAAAGAUCAGCACUCAUUUUCCUUUAAAGUUAGAGUUAGUCUGCCUGAGUUGCAUACAAAUAAGAUGAAUGAAUUCAUUACCAAAAGCUAGAUUAAGUUUUGCAGCUGUUCUGCCUGGGGAUCUAGUAGACAGAGGGGCCGGCACAACUGAAAAUCCUUUAGUGAUCAAGGCAGUCUGAAAAUGCAAUCUUUUGUGGUAAGUAGCAUUCAGAAAUACUGAAAUGAAGUGAAAAAAUAAAAUGACUUUUGACUAAACAUGUGGGAAAUGGGGAAAUCCUAGGGUGCCACCAAACAUGUAUCAGAGCUGUGGAAAGUGGAUGCUGUCUUUUCAUCCAGCUCACCACAAGAGGAAUGCAACUCAGGAAUGUAGGGAUGAUAAUUUGCAUCCAAAAUUUCAAAGUGGCUUUACACAUUUUAGGACAAAUACAGAUGUUUGCCACUUUACAAGCUCACUUAUCCAGUUAUCUCUAAUUUGCAACCUCUGAACUAGGCAAUGUCCAGGAACUGAUUUCUUCUUACCUGGUAUCCUAGUAUAAGGAAUGCCAACAUGUACAUUUAUCAUCUUUCCUUCAUGAAUGAUGCCAUUUAUCACUCCAAUAUUUUAAAAUUACUUCUAUGUUCUAAGACUAUUCUGGGAUUGUUUUCUGUUUCCUUUCUUGCCUUUUAUUCUUGAUUGAAUGGGUAAUUUUAAUCUUUCAUUUCUCCCUCUUCUAGUUUGAAAACUGCACGUAUUGUUUCUUUAUGUGUUUAUUCUAGGGAUUUUUACCUAAUAUGCUUAAAUUAUCAAAGUCUAAGUUUAAUCAAAACCUUGCUCUUCCUUUCAACUGGAAAGAUGGCCACUCAUUGGUUUUACGAAAGCUGCCCAUAAAUGUAACAGGUAAAUGUAGGUUUACAAUAAAGUCUUGUCCAUAAAAAAAAACGAGCUCUUUUCAAACUUUAAUUCCAUUUAUUCCCCUCUUGACUUACGCUAUUGUUAUAUUUUCAGUUCUACUAAAAAACUGACAUUAUUAUUACUCUUUUAUACAAUCAAUAUUCAUGAAUAUAGGCUCAGUUUAUUCCUUCCGACAUCUCAGGUUUUACAUCUGAAAUUACUUUUCUUCUGCCUGAAGUACCGCCUUUAAAUUAGUGCUGGUGAAGAACUCCCUUAGGUCUAUAAAUGUCUUUAUUUUUACUCUAUUCCUGAAAGAUAUUUUACUGAAUAUAGACUUCUAGAUUGGCAGUCAUUUUCUUUUAGAACUUUGAAGAUUUUUUCCAUUAUUAUUAAGAUUCUGUUGAGAUACUGAGAAGUCAGCUGUCUAACAUUCCUUUGUGUGUGAUCUGUCUUUUCUUUUCUCUGGUUUCUUUCAGAUUUUCUCUUUGUUGUUGAUUUGCACCAAUUUUACUAUAAUGUAUUUUGUCUGAGAUUUCUUUUAACUUGUCUGACUUGGGAUAUACUUGGUCUUCUUGAAUCUCUGGAUUGCUGUCUUUGAUCAGUUCUUAAAAAUCCUCAGAUAUCAUCUUUUCAAAUAUUGUCUCUAACUCUCUCUUUUCUUUUGUUUUGGUACUUCAAUUUUAGAUCUUGUCAUUACAUUUUCCACAUUGCUUAUUCUUCCCUGCAUUUCAUUAUUUUUCCUUUUUUUCCUGUUUUUCCUUUUUUUUCCUUUUCUCUUCAUACUGCAUUUAGGAUCAUUUAGCCUGGUUUAUCUUCUUGGUAUGUAAUAGACAUUCAGUAAAUUUUUGUUGAAUGAAAUGCAAUAUUGAUGUUUUAAAAAAUGUUAUAUGAAACUAGUGUUUUAUAAGACCCAUAAUUUAAAAAGGCUGAUCUGAUAUAAUCCCUUCAAUUUCUGUUGCACAUACUAAGGUCUAUAGUUAACUGACCUGGUCAAGACCAUAGAACUAAAGAGUGUCAUAUCUGGCCCUAGAAUUCAGAUCUUACCCUAAGUUCAUUGUUCUUUGCAAUUCACCACACGAUUUCUCAUUCUAAUACAAAAUAUUACAAUAUAGGUGAUGACAAUAUGAGUGAGAGAUCUCCGUUAUUUUUCUUUGUGAGAAGUUAUAUUACUAUUUGAGAAGUAACAUCUAUCCUCUAUUGAUGAUCAAUGAGAAGAAAUAAAUUUGGAAGCAAGGUAGGGAAGGGCAGUGAGUGGUUUGAGAAGUAACUAAGAAAGGCUUUGAUAGCUUUCAAUAAGAUAAUGACUUACUAGCUGAAGAGCCUUUAGGCAAAUUAACAUCUUCUCAUUCAUUCAUUUCAUAAAAGCUUCUCAUGUGUGUAUCAGGUCAAAGUAGUAGAUUUACAAUAAAGUCUUGGCUGUAAUGAAGUGACAGAGAAUAUUUAGAGAAUGGUAAGUAAGGACUUAGGCCAGUUCCUGAAUAAUUAGCCCUAAGAUACAAGUCCAGUAGUUUGCUGGAAAUAGACUCUUCCACAUAAGUGAGAGCAAACCCAAAAUUUGUUAAACGAGAUCUGUGAAUACCAGCUGUGGGGAGACAUGAGUGAUGAGGGAACAUAGAAAAAUAGAGAAAAGGCAAAAUAAACUUGAACACCUGUAACAAAAAGUGUUUGUGGAAGUGGGGAGAGGGUGCAGAAAUGAAUUCUUAUUAGUUAUUAAGAAAAUCCACAUAAUACCAGUAUUUACAUAUGGAUAAAUCAAUGUAAUAGCCUAACAGCCUUUUAUGAAAAUUUGGAUUAAAUCAUGUAAGUGACUUAGAUUACAGUUUUGGGACAUUUUGUAUCCUUUUGGCUAUUUGGACCCAUUUUUGAGAGUAAUAUUUACUCGUAUACUCAGUUUUCCCCACUUGUGUUAGUUCUCAAUACUAACUAUGGGAUAAUUUAAAAAUAAAAGAAAAAAGCUCUAUUAACUGCGUAUACUCACUUUCUUCUACCAUAAGUUCUCUGGUUUUAAAACAGAAAUCAUUUUCAUAUAUUUGUCCAGUUCCUCCCAAUUGCCCUGUAUAGUACAUUGCUUCAUCAAAACACAGUGCAUAGCUAUGUAAUGAUAACAAGAGGAAAAAAACUACUUUCCUGUUCUUCUCUCCUGGUAGCUUUGAAACAGUAACUAUUUCUGUAAUUGUUAUCCUUCCUCCCCGUCAGGGCAAAUUCAUCAGUCCCAAGCUUUCAUGUGACAUGACCCUAAAAUUAACUCUCCAGAGAGAAGAUACUUUUCCCACUUAGAGAGCAAACAAAAAUGACCAGUGGCAGGGGAUGCUGGUGAGGGCAGCAUCCAAAACUGGCCUUAUCUACAGAUACCCUGGCCAUGUGCUUCCUGCCUUUACCCUCAAGGGACAAAACAAAGGAUUCAGACCAAUAUAUUUCCUCCUUCCUUUCACUGCAAUGAAUAACACCAUCCUAAUCACAAAAUGGUGAGAUCUGACAUGUUUUUGAAGAUCCAACGUGUUCUUCUUAGUUCGCAUUAAAACCAUCUGUCAGCUUCUCUUGCUUUUUUGUCAUGUGCCUGAAAAACCAAUUAUAAUAUCUACUAAUACUUAAAGACCGUAAAAUAUUAUUGAUAAGAAAUGGGAAAGAAGGACACUUAGUUGAAUAUAGUCUCCAUUCUUAACAGUGCAAAAUGAAAGACAGCAUUAAAAAUCUGUUUAAUUUUUAUCAGCAUAGAAAGUCAAACAAGAACAUCCAUCCCUUAGUGUGUAUUUUUUUCCUUCCCCCUCCAUUUCGUUUUGGUUAUUUGGUUUGAAUUACAUCUGUUCUGUGGCUUGAAAUUGAUUCGGAUAUUUUUGUCUUGAAUUUUCCUACUUUGUUUGCUUACAACAUAAUUGAUGUGCACUAAGAAGUGAUUAUUUGUCCAAACCAUUUAUCCAAAACCUUUUCUAAAUGUAGAGAUUAAUCUGGGAGCAGUUUUGAAAUGAGCAACUUAGAAAGACCCAUUUUUCAGACAACCUAGCAUCUUUGGGUUGGUUAUUUAACUUUAUCUACUUUUUGAUAUAUAAUUUAGAGCUAAUAUCUUUCUAAAACAAUGAAUAAAGUUUCUUACAAAAUAUAAAAUUAGCUAAUACAUUCAUCAAUUCAGUUAUCCAAUUAUCUACCCAUCCAUCCCUCCAUCUAUUCAUCCAAGCAACAAGCCAUCCUAUUAACAGAUAUUUAUCACUAACAUGCUAGGCACUGGGGAUAAAGCAGCAAGCAAAAUAGAAAAUAAGUCUGAUUUCAGGGAGCUUAAAUUCCAACAAGGGAAAACAAAUGGUUAAUCAAUAAUUAACCCAUAUAGUAUGUCAGAUAGCCAUAGGUGUAACGGAGCAAAAUUAAGUAGGGUGGGGGCUAGGGAGUUGUGAUUUAAAAUUGAGGAGGCAGGAAAGCCUUCACAAAAAGGUGGAAUUUGAGCAAAGACCUAAAGAGGGUAAGGGAGAAAGCCACGCAAAUAUCUGGAAGCAAAGUGUUUCAACUGAGCAUAGAGUCAGUGCAAAUGUCCUGAGGCAGAAACGUGCCUGACAUAUUCACGGAAAAGCCAGGAAGCCAGUAUGGCUGGAGUGGUUAUGAGGAAGGGCACAGUGGUAGAAGACGAGAUCAAAGUAUUCAUGGGGAUAAUGACACUGGGCCUUGUGAACUGCUGAAAGGACUUAGGCUUUUAUUCUGGAUGAGAUUGGGAACCACAGAAGAUUAGGGGCAGAGGAGUAACAUGAUAUGACCCAGGUUUUGGCUUCUGUAUUGAGAAAAUGCUGUAUUGAAGUAGGAAGGAAGGGGGUAAAGGUGGAAGCAGAGAGGCUAGCUAGGAGGCUAUUGACAUUCUCUUGGACCAGGGUGGCCACAAUAAAGUGGUGAGAAGUGGUAAAUGCUGAUUUGUUUAUAGGGUAGAGACAGGUAGAUUUUCUAAAUAUUUAGAAAGGAAAGAGAAGAGAAAUGAAGCAUGAUUACAGGAUUUGGCCUGAGGAAUUUUAUGAACAGAGCUGAGUUGGAGGGAUGGGGUGGACUGUGGGAGGGCCAGUUUUGUAGGGAAGAUAUAGAAGUGGAUGUUGGGCUGAUGAGUUUGAGAUGUAUAUAUCUCAUGCACUGAACGCCUAACUAGGAGCCAGACCACGAUGAAUCCUUGGAGGUGGGUAGGUGAUGUGCAGAGAUGACUGAAUGGCCAGCCAGCUUACUCCUGUGAGUAAGCUUACUUCUGUGAGUGCUAACUCCUCACAGAAGGAAACAGGUGUGAAGACAGGUAGCCACAACAGGAAGCAGACUAGUCUAGACUUCAGGAACACAGUGUUGCUUCUACCCAGAACAUUCCUUUGGGAUUGAAAUAAAUGGCCCUCUAUAUGGUUCAAACUCUUAAUCACUUAUUCAGCCUUCAGACUUGGCAUAAUCAAUCUCACACCUCAUCUGAUUACAAUCACUUUCUUGUUACCUUUAGCAAUAAGACUGGAAGAGACCUUUAUUGCCCUGCAUACACUUGCAAACCACACUUGGAUGGGUAUGUGAUUAUAUACCUCUUUGAAAAAAGUCUCAAGUGAAAUCAAAUCCUUCCACUGAUGUCUCUGACCUUCACCUAUUUUGUUCUAUAUGUUUUUGUCCAAUCUUUUUGCCUGAGGCUGGGAAUUGUGCAGGUUAAUGUGUAUCUUCACCAGCAUGCUAACACAAAUAAGUCAUAUUGCCACUAUGCAUAAUUACGCAGUGAUUUGAUAAACAGCCCCAUGAGUUUUCAGAACAAUGUCUUGACUAAGAUUGAUUUUGAAUGAAAUUAAGCGAUAUGAAGAAUAAUUGUUAAGGCAAUUUAAAGUCAAUAUCUAAGACUAAAUAAGCACCUAUAAGAAUUAAAAUAAUUGUGCUGGGGUAGUAAAUUAUACCACAAAGCACAAAGAAAAAAUUAUUUUUAUUUUUUCAAUAUUUUUAUUAUUUAAAAAUAUAUAGGAAAAAACCACCAUCAUAGUUCUAUAUUGGAUUAAUAUAGUGGGCCUGCAUGUUUGAUUUUUUAAAAAUCUGUCAUUUAAACUACAUUGCAAAGUUAGUGUACAACUUUUUUGUCAUUUUUCCUUGCUUACUGCUAUGCCUGCAGUUCAAGUGAGCUGACGAUAGGGGCAAGUGAGUACCUUGUCCUAACAGUCAAGGACAUGAACUAAAGCCACUCAACUGGGCUUCUUUGGGUCCCCCACUCAGCUCAGUUUUUUCUGGGAAGAGCCUUAGAUACAAAACAGGGAAAAGGAUGCUAGCAGGGUAAAAGAAUCUUUGGAAAGAUGAAAAAUUGGCCCCCAAAACAAUGGUUGGAUGAUAUUGAUUGGGAUGCAAUGGAAUGAUAUUCCUUUGGGUGAGAGGUUUAGCAGACAUUCUUUUUGAUCAACAAUUUCAUUUCCUGGAACCUCCAGAAAAAAGGUUAGGAGUAGAAUUUGGGCAAGAGAGGGGAAAAAAAUGGCAUCUUUUUAGUUUGCUGGGGAUCUUUUGUCCUGAGGGUUCUGGGGCAUAGGGAGUGUGUUAGGUAGUGUUAGGGAGCCUGUGUGUGUAUGUGUCUAUGCUUGUGUAUGUGUCUAUACUUGUGUAUGUGCCUGCAUAAUGCUUAGAAAACAACAUUGGCUUUGUAGACUCAAGGUACCAGGAUAGGGUACACUGAAGAGAGAGAGAGAGAAAUCAGGGUGCUGACCUCCUAAGGCUUGCUCCAGGCUCACACAGAGUGAACAACUGCUGUUUGUUUCCAUACAGCACCUCUUCCCUCUUUUUUAUUAACAGCACCCACUCACUUCCCCUGAGGAAUUGUUCUUUCACUCUGUGAUUCUGCAAGAAUUGUCAAUCGCAGACCCUUACCUCUCUGGUAUAAUGAGUGGGACUGUGAACCAAGCUCAUAUAAUCAAGGCUCUUCCCUGAAGUUGGAAGUUCUCUAUUUUUGUUUGGACUGUUAGCUGCAAAAAUAUGACAUCAAAGCAACCAGCUCCCUGACAAUGUGGAGUAGAGCUAAGAGAAUGAGGUUACCAAAGACCAGAGGUUGAGCUGAAAAAUGUGUAGAAGCAGAGUAGAUGAGAUCUGGAAUAAGUGGCAACCAGAGAAGGUGAGUGUGGUUACCUUGUUUAAGUCUCAUGAUCCAUUCAUCCUGGGGACACACUAUUCCUUCCUUUUCAUGCUUUGGUUCUGUGAUCCAGUAAAUCACCUUUACAAUUUUUUUAAAGCUUUAAAUAGCUUAAAAUUUGUUUCUGUUAUUUUCAGCCAGAUAAUACAGAUUAAUAUAGGGGAAUGCAUAUUUUCUUCUUGAAGUCCUAGUCCGUAUUUCCAAUAGGACAGGUAAAAGAGAGAGAGAUUGUGCAUAUGGCUAGAGGUUUUCUGUGUCUUUC
rnacentral:lncRNA from 1 species